rnacentral:tRNA from 2 species
GCCGAGGUAGCUCAGUUGGUAGAGCACUGCACUGAAAAUGCAGGAGUCCCCAGUUCGAAUCUGGGCCUCGGCA